rnacentral:ncRNA from 2 species
AAACGUCUUCAGGGCGGGGUGCGAUUCCCCACCGGCGGUAGGUGCGUUCGCGCACGAGCCCGCGAGCGCUUGGGUGGUCGGAACCGGCACGCAGGUGCGGAGUCGGCUGCGCAAGGUCAGCAGAUCCGGUCCGACGCCGGAGCCGACGGUAUAGUCCGGAUGAAAGAAGACGGCU